AUUGAACGCUGGCGGCAUGCUUUACACAUGCAAGUCGAACGGUAACAGGUUAAGCUGACGAGUGGCGAACGGGUGAGUAAUGCAUCGGAACGUGCCCGGUCGUGGGGGAUAACACAGCGAAAGCUGCGCUAAUACCGCAUACGAUCUGAGGAUGAAAGCGGGGGACCGUAAGGCCUCGCGCGAUCGGAGCGGCCGAUGUCAGAUUAGGUAGUUGGUAGGGUAAAGGCUCACCAAGCCGACGAUCUGUAGCUGGUCUGAGAGGACGACCAGCCACACUGGGACUGAGACACGGCCCAGACUCCUACGGGAGGCAGCAGUGGGGAAUUUUGGACAAUGGGCGCAAGCCUGAUCCAGCAAUGCCGCGUGCAGGAAGAAGGCCUUCGGGUUGUAAACUGCUUUUGUACGGAGCGAAAAGGCUCUCUCUAAUACAGGGGGCUCAUGACGGUACCGUAAGAAUAAGCACCGGCUAACUACGUGCCAGCAGCCGCCGUAAUAC
rnacentral:rRNA from 1 species